rnacentral:rRNA from 1 species
AUUGAACGCUGGCGGCAGGCCUAACACAUGCAAGUCGAGCGAGCGGCGGAGGGGCGAGUAAUGGAUGGGGAUCUGCCUGAUCGAGGGGGCUGACUGGUGGAACAGGUAGCUAAUGCCGCAUACGAUCCUAUGGACCCAUAUGGGAUUAGCGAGUGGGUGAGGUAACGGCUCACCUAGGCGACGAUCCCUAGCUGGUCUGAGAGGAUGAUCAGCCACACUGGGACUGAGACACGGCCCAGACUCCUACGGGAGGCAGCAGUGGGGAAUAUUGCACAAUGGGCGCAAGCCUGAUGCAGCCAUGCCGCGUGUAUGAAGAAGGCCUUCGGGUUGUAAAGUACUGUCAGUCGGGAGGCGUUACCGACAGAAGAAGCACCGGCUAACUCCGUGCCAGCAGCCGCGGUAAUAC